UAGCAGCAGUGAUAACUCUAACCAUCUCUUCAUUGUUCCUGACCUUCACCAUGACGACGACACUCCGACGAGGUACCACUCCGACGACACCACCAUGAAGAACGUCGCUGCGCUCACAAUGCCUCCGCCGACAAUCCCUCUUCCGGCACCCCUAACCCUCCUUCUGCGUUGACUCUCUCUGGCGGUGGCUCCUUCCACUCACUUGCCAUUGCAAACCCUUCCCCUCACUUUUCGUCGCUAACCCAAACCAAAGGCAUUACUAUUAUCAACCCUCAGUCAUCGAUCAUCGUCACCGACUCACCGGUGUUGUCACUGCCAGAUCCAUCUCAGAUAUCAUGGAAGAUGAAAAGGAAAAUAGUAACAUCAACCUUGGCUGCAGAAACUUCUAAAUUGGCCUCUGAUGGUCAAAAUCCUGUUUCUUCUAUCCAUGCCACCCCGCCUCAAUCAGUUAUUCCCCCUUCUAUUGUACCCCCCUUUAGCUCCAAUUCCACCAAAAUAGUGAGGUUGGGUCUGGUGACUCUGAUUCAGAUCACAAUUACUUGGGAGCUAGAAUUAACAAGGCUGCAGGGGAGUAUGAGAUAUCGGUAGAGAGUAGACUAGUAAAAGAGCGCCAAGAAAAGGCAAGGCAAGAACUCAUGCUUAAGAGGCGUGCUGCUGCCCUUGCAGUUCCCACAAACGACAGGGCUAUGCGCCUUUGCAAGCUCGUCUUCGCUACCUUGGUGAGUCUAUAACCCUAUUCGGUGAGAGGGAGAUGGAGAGGAGAGACAGGUUGCGGAUGAUUUUGGUGAAGCUGGAUGCUGAAGGGUCGUGCCGCACCACUGGAACUCACGUUCGUGUUCCUGCUACUGUUCGUGUUCUGGUUAAUGCAGCUGUUCGUGUUUGGGUUGCUCCUGUUGUUCUGCGGGUUCCAUUGUUGAUGUUGUUCACAUUCAUAGUUGCAGGUUUUCUUCUACGCAAAGACAACUCCUGAAAUUGAUCACACAUAUUGGUUGAUUGCUGCUGCUUAUCGCGGUUGUGUCUCUGUUACCCGUGUUCCUGUUGAUGCUGCUGUUCGCAUUCGCGUUCGGGUUCGGGUUCAUGUUGUUGAAACUGUUCGUGUUCCAUUGUUGCUAUAAUUGGCGUUCAUAAUUGCAGCUGUGCUUCUAUACAAAGCAAUGCCGAAGUGAAAACACUUUACUAAUCCCCUGAGAUCAGCUCCUCAACCUGAAAAUGGUGUUGAUCAGUUUAAUGACGAUGUAGUUCACAAUUAACCUAUGCAUGUCUCACCACCUAAUCAUGAUUCAGCAAUGCAAAGCAAUCCGAAUAGUGCUAUGGAUCAUUCACUGCCUAACCAAGGAUCCCAAGAACAUACUAGGCACUUUGGUGGACGUCAAUCUUCUGAAUAUUGGACCGUGGAGACAGUAGGUACAGAUGGAACUAUUAAAACUAGAAGGCUAAAAGUUAAAGAAAUGGAUAACUUAUCUAGAGAUGAGCAAGUUGUUGUAAACUUUGAAGAUUAACAAGCUAGUAGAGAAGCCCAAGGUUUGCUUGUUGGAUAUCUAAGAACAUUGGCAGUUGAUUAUAAGUUAUUUCCAAUCAAUUUCUCAAGGUGGUCAGGACCUUUGGGUAUACCUUGAUCUAGAUUUGAAGAGUGUUUUAGUAACUUGCUAAAGCCAAAAUUUCAUUUCAAAAUUUCUGAGGGCAUUGCAAAGCGAUAUUGCAAAUUGAGCUUGCAAAAAAGUGGUCACAACAUAGAAUUAAGUUAUGGAAUGAGUUCUAUGAUCCAUGCAUGAGUAGACAAGCAAUCAUUGAUAAUGUCUCAGUUGGCAUCGACAGAGAUCAAUGGGCAUCCUUUGUUCAGUAUCGGUUUCUACCUUCUACAACGGAGACGUGUAAGAGAAACAAGUAUGUUCGCAAGAAGCAAACAAUUCCCCGUACUGGUGGCUCGAAACCUAUUUCAAGGGAAAGACAUGAAAUAUUUUUAGAAACUGGACAAAAAAUUAGCCGUGGAGAAAUGUACAUAGAAACUCAUAAGAAGAAAGAUGGGUCGUUUGUGACUGAUGAAGCAAGGGACGUAGCAGAACAAAUUGAAGUACUUAUGACUCAAAAUGAGAAAGAUGACUCAGGACCAUCCACGAAUGAUGCUAUUGGCAAAGUGUUUAGGGAUGAGCAUUCUGGUAGGGUGCGAUGCAUGGGAAUGGGAGCAACACCUACUAAUACUUUCAGAAAUGCCAAUCAUCCUAGCCAGUUAGCUAAUUCUUCAACUUCAAUGUCAUCUACUACCAAUUACUCCCAAGCAGAUUUUAAACAUUUGGAGUCUUAAUUUGAUGGGACAUUGACUGCAUUCAAAGCUUAUUUUCUAGCUAAAGAAGGAAGGAUUCCUAUUGAACUUAUCAGUAUAUUUGACCAUGGAGCUCAGGCUAAUAAUGUUGAGAACGAAACUAUUACACCGAUAACAGGAAGAACAUCAACAGACGGAAGCAAUAAAAAUCGUGAAGACAUUCUUUAGUAUAUCUUUAAGAUUGAUUAGUUGUUUAUUAUUCUACAUUUGUUAGGGUAUUAUGUUGCAUUUUUUUACUAAACAAACUUAUUCAAGUAGUGAAGCCAUUAGUGAUGGUUGUGAAUUUAUAUUAUUUUAGCUUGUUUAAUUUUUAGGAUUAGACAUAUAAAAAC